rnacentral:rRNA from 1 species
GAUGAACGCUGGCGGCGUGCCUAAUACAUGCAAGUCGAGCGAACAGACGAGGAGCUUGCUCCUCUGACGUUAGCGGCGGACGGGUGAGUAACACGUGGAUAACCUACCUAUAAGACUGGGAUAACUUCGGGAAACCGGAGCUAAUACCGGAUAAUAUAUUGAACCGCAUGGUUCAAUAGUGAAAGACGGUUUUGCUGUCACUUAUAGAUGGAUCCGCGCCGCAUUAGCUAGUUGGUAAGGUAACGGCUUACCAAGGCGACGAUGCGUAGCCGACCUGAGAAGGUGAUCGGCCACACUGGAACUGAGACACGGUCCAGACUCCUACGGGAGGCAGCAGUAGGGAAUCUUCCGCAAUGGGCGAAAGCCUGACGGAGCAACGCCGCGUGAGUGAUGAAGGUCUUCGGAUCGUAAAACUCUGUUAUUAGGGAAGAACAAAUGUGUAAGUAACUAUGCACGUCUUGACGGUACCUAAUCAGAAAGCCACGGCUAACUACGUG